CCUACGGGGGUUGCAGUAGAGAAGCAUUCACAAGGGGGGAAAACCGGAGGGUGUGACGCCGAGUGGGGGAAUGAAGGUCUUCGGAUUGUAAACCCCUGUCAUGUGGGAGCAAAUUAAAAAGAUAGUACCACAAGAGGAAGAGACGGCUAACUCUGUGCCAGCAGCCGCGGUAAUACAGAGGUCUCAAGCGUUGUUCGGAAUAACUGGGCGUAAAGCGUGCGUAGGCUGUUUCGUAAGUCGUGUGUGAAAGGCGCGGGCCCAACCCGCGGACGGCACAUGAUACUGCGAGACUAGAGUAAUGGAGGGGGAACCGGAAUUCUCGGUGUAGCAGUGAAAUGCGUAGAUAUCGAGAGGAACACUCGUGGCGAAGGCGGGUUCCUGGACAUUAACUGACGCUGAGGCACGAAGGCCAGGGGAGCGAAAGGGAUUAGAUACCCUUGUAGUC
rnacentral:rRNA from 1 species